GCGCAAGCCAGACAGUACUACAUGAAUAAGGGGAUCCUAAUUCUGUGCCAGCAGGAGCGGUAAGACAGAAUCCCCGAGCGUUACCCGGAUUUAUUGGGCGUAAAGGGUCCGUAGGUGGUAAAGUAAGUUGAAAGUUAAAGCUCAUCGGCUCAACCUUUGAGAUGCUUUCAAUACUGCUUUACUUGAGGGCGUUAGGGGUUAGCGGAACCGACAGAGUAGGGGUGAAAUCCGUUGAUAUUGUCGGGAACACCAAAAGCGAAGGCAGCUCACUGGGGUACAACUGACACUGAUGCACGAAAGUGUGGGUAUCAAACAGGAUUAGAUACCCUGGUAGUCCACACAGUAAACGAUGAAUACUCGCUGUUUGCGAUACACAGCAAGCGGCCAAGCGAAAGCAUUAAGUAUUCCACCUGGGGAGUACGCCGGCAACGGUGAAACUCAAAGGAAUUGACGGGGGCCCGCACAAGCGGAGGAACAUGUGGUUUAAUUCGAUGAUACGCGAGGAACCUUACCCGGGCUUGAAUUGCAACUGCAUAUAGUGGAAACAUUAUCGCCAGCAAUGGCAGUUGUGAAGGUGCUGCAUGGUUGUCGUCAGCUCGUGCCGUGAGGUGUCGGCUUAAGUGCCAUAACGAGCGCAACCCUUAUUGAUAGUUACUAACAGGCAAUGCUGAGGACUCUAUCAAGACUGCCGUCGUAAGAUGUGAGGAAGGUGGGGAUGACGUCAAAUCAGCACGGCCCUUACGUCCGGGGCUACACACGUGUUACAAUGGGGGGUACAGAAGGUCGCUACCUGGCAACAGGAUGCUAAUCCCAAAAACCUCUCUCAGUUCGGAUUGGAGUCUGCAACUCGACUCCAUGAAGCUGGAUUCGCUAGUAAUCGCGCAUCAGCCACGGCGCGGUGAAUACGUUCCCGGGCCUUGUACACACCGCCCGUCAAGCCAUGGGAGCCGAGAAUACCCGAAACCCACGCUUGCGUGGUCUACGGUAAGUUCGGUGACAGGGACUAAGUCGUAACAAGGUAA
rnacentral:rRNA from 1 species